CCCUAGCCCCGAUUGCAACGCAAAUCCUUUUUUUGAAGGAUUACUCUGAAGCGCAGCGGAAGAGAAAUCUACUUCAAAAAAAGAUUGCAGUGAAAAGCGGGAAAAAGC
rnacentral:sRNA from 1 species